GCUCUGCUGCCGGAGGUAGUGCCACGGGGGGUUCAGAACUGCAGGAAUCAGGGAAGUAGGAAAAAAAGGGGAGAGAGGAGCAGCAUUUUGAUGGCGCCAAGGGUGUCCAACUUUUUGAUACGGCGGGCGACUCGCCACUGCCAUCUUCAAAGCUCCUGCUUGAGGACGGCACGGUCCAGUCACAAACAGGCCAGUGUUCUACCCCUUGCAAUCUCGUCGCCCCCUCUUCCUUGGCAGGGCUAAUGGCGCGAGGGCGGGAAUGUGGAGCUUUUUGAGGCUCUCAGUGAAACAGCACGAGCGUAGGUCGCUGAAAGGAUUAAGGUUACAAGGCCACACAGUGCCUGCUAACUUGCCUGUUAACAACACCGAAAAUGACAAGGCACACAGCCCCAGGCAUGCCAUCCUCUCCGGGACAAACAUCAGGGAGUCUGUUGUUGACGUCUUCACUUUGACCUGGACGGUUACCUGUUCCCACUAGAUUUUAGGUUAGCCUUAGGAGUU